GAUGAACGCUGGCGGCGUGCCUAAUACAUGCAAGUCGAGCGAACAGAUAAGGAGCUUGCUCCUUUGACGUUAGCGGCGGACGGGUGAGUAACACGUGGAUAACCUACCUAUAAGACUGGGAUAACUUCGGGAAACUGGAGCUAAUACCGGAUAACAUAUUGAACCGCAUGGUUCAAUAGUGAAAGGCGGCUUUGCUGUCACUUAUAGAUGGAUCCGCGCCGUAUUAGCUAGUUGGUAAGGUAACGGCUUACCAAGGCAACGAUACGUAGCCGACCUGAGAGGGUGAUCGGCCACACUGGAACUGAGACACGGUCCAGACUCCUACGGGAGGCAGCAGUAGGGAAUCUUCCGCAAUGGGCGAAAGCCUGACGGAGCAACGCCGCGUGAGUGAUGAAGGUCUUCGGAUCGUAAAACUCUGUUAUCAGGGAAGAACAAAUGUGUAAGUAGCUGUGCACAUCUUGACGGUACCUGAUCAGAAAGCCACGGCUAACUACGUG
rnacentral:rRNA from 1 species